rnacentral:misc_RNA from 1 species
GCGGACCCAGAAAUUCAUGAAAUUAUGGACAAAGAGAAGCAGAGGCAGGUAAAAGGGAUCGAACUUAUAGCAUCGGAGAAUUUUGUUUGCCGUGCGGUGAUGGAAGCUCUAGGUAGCCACUUGACGAAUAAAUACUCUGAGGGACUUCCCGGAGCCAGAUACUACACUGGAAAUCAGUAUAUUGACCAAAUUGAAUCGCUAUGUUGCAGUCGGGCAUUGGCGGCCUUUGGGCUUGAUCCUGAUAAAUGGGGCGUUAAUGUGCAGCCGUAUUCAUGUACAUCCGCAAAUUUUGCGGUUUAUACGGGGCUUUUACUACCCGGGGAUCGGAUUAUGGGUUUGGAUUCACCUUCUGGGGGGCAUUUGAGUCAUGGAUAUUAUACGCCGGGAGGGAAGGUGUCUGCUUCCUCGAUUUUCUUCGAGAGUUUGCCUUACAAAGUGAAUCCGCAAACAGGGUAUGUUGAUUAUGAUAAGAUGGAGGAGAAGGCGAUGGAUUUUAGACCCAAGAUACUUAUUUG